rnacentral:rRNA from 1 species
AGCAGCCGCGGUAAUUCCAGCUCCAAUAUCUUAUAUUAAAGUUGUUGCAGUUAAAAAGCUCGUAGUUGAAUUUCGGGGUCAGCAAGUUGGUCGUGCCACUGGUAUGCACUGGCUUUGCUGAUUCCUCCUUCUUGUAGAACCGUAAUGCCAUUAAGUUGGUGUUGCGGGGAAACAGGACUGUUACUUUGAAAAAAUUAGAGUGUUUAAAGCAGGCUAACGCUUGAAUACAUUAGCAUGGAAUAAUGAAAUAGGACGACGAUCCUAUUUUGUUGGUUUCUAGGAUUGACGUAAUGAUUAAUAGGGAUAGUUGGG